AUGAUCUUCACCAACCUGUUGGUCCAUCGGUAAUCCAAGAUCACGGGCCAAAGUCACUGACAUUCGUUUGAAUGAAUUUGUAGCCACCGAAAGACACAAUCAAAACACCUUUGUAAACAAUGCCGUUGAAUUGACCUUCCCAGGAAAUGCUGUUAUCUGUCUGACUGCGAUUAACAGCGUGCUGCUUCCUGCUUUCUGAAAGGAUACAAAAUCAUGCGUACUGGAAAAAUGCAGUUGCCCCUACUUUUGUAAAGAAUUCAAAACCUCGUGCAUUCUAAUUUGCUGUCGUAGAAGUUAAGAAGCUGCAUUGCCUACUUAACAAAACUGCUAUAAUAAAUUAUGUCAGAAGACUCAUUCAGUUUCUCUAUCAACUUUGUUAUAGUGCCAUCUAGUGAGCAAUGUGCAACAUUGUAACAAUGCAACGACACUCAAUUUAAGUUUAGUGUUAACAAAGUCGCAAUAAAGGCAUAAAGAUUCAGUCAGGAGGUUAGUUGUUAUCAGAGUCAAAAGGUUAGUUAUCAGGGUCAGCAGGUUAGUUGUUAUCAGGGUCAGAAGGUUAGUUAUCAGGGUCAGCAGGUUAGUUAACAGGGUCAGCAGGUUAGUUGUUAACAGGGUCAGCAGGUUAGUUGUUAACAGGGUCAGCAGGUUAGUUGUUAUCAGGGUCAGCAGGUUAGUUGUUAUCAGGGUCAGCAGGUUAGUUGUUAACGGGUCAGCAGUUUAG
rnacentral:lncRNA from 1 species